AAGAGACAGCAGCCGCCGCGGUAAUACGUAGGGUGCAAGCGUUAUCCGGAAUUAUUGGGCGUAAAGAGCUCGUAGGCGGUUUGUCGCGUCUGCUGUGAAAACUGGAGGCUCAACCUCCAGCCUGCAGUGGGUACGGGCAGACUAGAGUGCGGUAGGGGAGAUUGGAAUUCCUGGUGUAGCGGUGGAAUGCGCAGAUAUCAGGAGGAACACCGAUGGCGAAGGCAGAUCUCUGGGCCGUAACUGACGCUGAGGAGCGAAAGCAUGGGGAGCGAACAGGAUUAGAUACCCGCGUAGUCCCUGUCUCUUAUAC
rnacentral:rRNA from 1 species